rnacentral:rRNA from 1 species
UACGUAGGUGACAAGCGUAGUCCGGAUUUACUGGGCGUAAAGAGCGCGCAGGCGGUCGAUCAAGUCGAGUGUGAAAGCCCCCGGCUCAACUGGGGAGGGUCAUUCGAUACUGAUCGACUCGAAGGCAGGAGAGGGUAGUGGAAUUCCCGGUGUAGUGGUGAAAUGCGUAGAUAUCGGGAGGAACACCAGUGGCGAAGGCGACUACCUGGCCUGUUCUUGACGCUGAGGCGCGAAAGCUAGGGGAGCAAACGGG